AGUGAACGCUGGCGGCGUGGAUUAGGCAUGCAAGUCGAGCGAUCUCGCAAGAGAUAGCGGCAAAUGGGUUAGGAACACGUAAGUAAUUUUCCUCUUAUUCAGACAUAGCCCUAUGAAAAUAGGGGUAAUAUUUGAUGGUACCAUAGACCGGCAUCUGUUUAUGGUUAAAGACGGGGACCGCAAGGCCUGUCGAUAAGAGAUGAGCUUGCGUAGCAUCAGCUAGUUGGUAGGGUAACGGCCUACCAAGGCUAUGACGCUUAGCUGGUCUGAGAGGACGAUCAGCAACACUGGGACUGAGACACUGCCCAGACUCCUACGGGAGGCUGCAGUCGAGAAUCUUUAGCAAUGGGCG
rnacentral:rRNA from 1 species